rnacentral:tRNA from 2 species
GCCCGGGUGGCGGAAUUGGCAGACGCACUAGGUUCAGGUCCUAGCGCCUUUAAACGGGCAUACGGGUUCGACUCCCGUCCCGGGCACCA